rnacentral:rRNA from 1 species
AUUGAACGCUGGCGGCAGGCCUAACACAUGCAAGUCGAGCGGAAGAGGCAGUCUUGCCCCUGGUUUCAGCGUCGGACGGGUGUGUGUUGCCUAUGAAUCUGCCUCGUUGUGGGUGAUGACGUCCGGAAACGGGUGCUAAUGCUGCCUGCGUCGUGAAGGGGAAGGUGGGGGAUCUGCGGAGCUCAUGCUAUCAGGUGAGACUAGGUCGGAUUAGCUAGUUGGUGGGGUAAAGGCGCACAAAGGCGAGUCUCCGUAACUGGUCUGAGAGGAUGAUCAGUCACACUGGAACUGAGACACGGUCCAGACUCCUACGGGAGGCAGCAGUGGGGAAUAUUGGACAAUGGGCGAAAGCCUGAUCCAGCCAUGCCGCGUGUGUGAAGAAGGUCUUCGGAUUGUAAAGCACUUUAAGUUGGGAGGAAGGGCAGUAAGUUAAUACCUUGCUGUUUUGACGUUACCAACAGAAUAAGCACCGGCUAACUUCGUG